rnacentral:rRNA from 1 species
UACAGGGGGUGCAAACGUUGCUCGGAAUUAUUGGGCGUAAAGCGCGCGUAGGCGGCUACCUAAGUCGGAUGUGAAAGCCCCUGGCUUAACUGGGGAAGUGCACCCGAAACUGAGUAGCUAGAGUGCGAAAGAGGGUCGCGGAAUUCCCGGUGUAGAGGUGAAAUUCGUAGAUAUCGGGAGGAACACCGGUGGCGAAGGCGGCGACAUGGGUCAAGACUGACGCUCAUGCACGAAAGCGUGGGGAGCAAACAGG